CGUGGUUAUCGUCCAGACACUGUAUCUGGGACAGCGCCAUGCCGCGAGCUCAAAACACGAAAUACACAGAAACUUAAAAAAGUCGAAAAGUCUCGCGAGGCAGUUUCUCUCUUCUCCUAAACGCCUCCAGACUUUGGACUGAAGGUAAAUACCUGACCUGACAGAGAGAGAGAGUGAGAUAGGGAGUGAGUGACAUCCUUCGCGCCGCUGGCACCGCCCGACAGGUGUGACCCUGGUGAUUCUCACACGCCCACUGUUUCUGCAUUAUGGUUAAGAUCCACAAACUGUUCUGCAACAUUUCCAAACUCCAGCCCAGCCAGAGAUGAGUCUACCGUGUCAGUUUCCACAAAGUGUUUGGCUUACAACAUAAAGACUCUCCAUCAUAUCUCCACAUUGGAAUGGCAGGAAUACCCUGAAUUCCUUCACUCAACUACAGCGGGGGAAAUCUUCCUGCCCUCCACGACCUCCCAGAGUUUUUCCCAUCAGACACACGGCUCUCUGAACAAGCCGGGCUGACUCCCUGAUGACAGCAUGGCAUUCAGCUACACCUCCACCCUGCCCUUGUUUCUCUGCUGUUUCACCCCGUGUGUCCUCGUUUCUCCUUUCUCACCCUGAAUGUGCUCCCAAAUAUGAUGAAACUGAAGUGUAAAAAAACAGCAUGCUUUACGAUGAAAUAUUAAAUAAGUGCGAUUUCGA